rfam:Parastrongyloides trichosuri strain KNP genome assembly, scaffold: PTRK_scaffold0000243
CCAACGGCCCUCUUUAGGGCCAACAAAUGUACUUUUAUAAAUAUUAU